rnacentral:hammerhead_ribozyme from 1 species
GUACUGAUGACAAGUCCCACAAUGGGACGAAACGGCCGUCCAGUGC